UAGAUGGAGGCUCAUUGGUUUGAGUGCUUAGCUGUUAACUAAGAGUUUGUAGGAUCGAAGCCUUCUCAUCUAG
rnacentral:tRNA from 1 species